rnacentral:misc_RNA from 1 species
CGGAACGAGCUACGGAACUUUGCAUGAAGGUCAUCCAUUAUUUACGUGUGACGUUAGAAAUAUGACAUGUUUUUUUAAAUCAAACAUUGUGAUACGUUAAUUUUAAUUGAAUUUAUUUCUUAACUAUUUGCUCUUAUUAAUGGCAAAACCUACACCUGUUGCUUCUAGGAAUUUUCCAGGUGUUGACGGAAGUGCGUUUACUUUAACCUUUGCCAUAGAAAUAGUCGGAAUAGAGGUUUGGCAUGAUUGCAAUGAAGGAUGGCUAGAUCUCGGUGCCUGUACACAAGGCAUGAAAAUACAGUACCAGUUGUAUCCUGGACAGAUUUAUGAGUUAGAUAUUCUCAUUUGGCCGCAUGCUGUCAAAAUAUGGAGUGGUAUGAACUCCGGCUGGGUCCGCACGUGGCAGUUCUUGGAUCGUCGAUGGCUGACAUUUGACAUUCGCCAUAUAUUUCCCGUGAAGGUUGUUGACCUAAAAGCCUUUGUGGCAACAGUUUCUCCUACCUUUGGAGUUGGCGCCCUCGGAUCCAAUGCAAAAAACGACAAAGUUACAGAAGUAUUCCUACCGCGUCUGGAAUUUGGACAACAAAGAUAUUUCGCACCAGUAAUAGAAGAGGAGUCAAGCUUCGAGAAUUUCAUCUACGAUUUAAUAUGGAAGAUAGUGGAAUAUUUUAUACCCGCCUCAUAUUUGGACGGAUUGUUUGAUGUUCCACAUCCGGUGGCAGACGCAAGACACCAAGAUGCCGUAUUACGACAAGUAAAGGAAACUACUCUGAAUCGCAACUUGUCUGAACAAUCCGAGCCGGAAUUAUCGAGCUCGAGCAAGAAAACGUUAGCAAACCAAAAGAAGAAAGCAGAAGCGCCGAAAACAAAAUUUGAACUUAAUUUGUCGGGGAAUAAUAUUUUAUCAGGAACUGGCCAGCAAGUAGCUUUCCAAGCAGUCGGGGAUCGGCCGCCGGAACUAGGGGAGUUUUUUGCCUUCAUCUCCAGUCAGAAUUUGCCCGCCUCCGACGAUUAUCCGAUACUCUUUGUAAACAUCGAUUCCCUAUUCGAUGUGCCGACAGAAGCGUUGAGCAAAUAUCAAAUAUCGCAUAUUUAUACACGCUGGUCCAUUGGAGAAGAGACUCAUGACUCGGAACAGCAGCUCAUAGGACACAAAACGACUUAUCGUUUGAACGACCAUUACGCGUUGCCGUUGCCUUGCGAUAUGGCUUUUAAAAUUAUUUGUGAGCUGAUGGACGACGAUUUCUGUAUUCAGCUACGUGGAAUAAGAGUGGCCCCAAAGCAAUAUGAUGACCCCACCUUUUUCGGAUUUGAUGUUCGCCGGCACUACUCUGUGUUUCAAGAUAAUGAAGAUGUUUGUUCCUCUGUCGGCAGUUUUGGCUUGUCCGCCUGUAUACGCGAGACCAGUCUUACCUAUAUUAGCGCGAAAUACCGCAUUGAAGCUAGGUCGGUUGCUAAGCAACAAGCGGUGGUGGCGUCUCGGCCCACCGACCAGCGAACUGCCUACCUCCGCUGAGCUGGUGAGCUUUCGUCAGGAACUCUGCGCGGCGCCACGGCCCACGCCAGCGAUGACUGCCUUAUGCUCAAUGCUACCCAAAUAUCGCCCGAACAAGAACAAACAUGGAUUCAACUGAAGAUACUUCGACAAGAAAGGUAGUUCUACUAUUUAUGUAAUGUAUUUCACCUUUUUGUUAAAUAAUUGAUUUAAUACAAUUGGAUUUCUAUUGCUGGUCU